GACGAACGCUGGCGGCGUGCUUAACACAUGCAAGUCGAACGGAAAGGCCCUGCUUUUGUGGGGUGCUCGAGUGGCGAACGGGUGAGUAACACGUGAGUAACCUGCCCUUGACUGUGGGAUAACUUCAGGAAACUGGGGCUCAUACCGGAUAGGAGCUCCUGCUGCAUGGUGGGGGUUGGAAAGUUUCGGCGGUUGGGGAUGGACUCGCGGCGUAUCAGCUUGUUGGUGGGGUAGUGGCUUACCAAGGCUUUGACGGGUAGCCGGCCUGGGAGGGUGACCGGCCACAUUGGGAUGGAGAUACGGCCCAGACUCCUACGGGAGGCAGCGGUGGGGAAUAGUGCACUAUGGGCGGGAGCCUGAUGUAGCAACGCCGCGUGCGGGGUGACGGCCUUCGGGUUGUAAACCGCUUUCGCCUGUGACGAAGCGUUAGUGACGGUAAUGGGUAAAGAAGCACCGGCUAACUACGUG
rnacentral:rRNA from 1 species